GCUGGGUAUGGUGGUGCACACCUGUAUUCCCAGUGGCUUGGGAGGCUAAGGCAGGAGGAUCACGAGUUCAAAGCCAGCCUCAGCAAUGGUGAGGCACUAAGCAACUCAUCGAGAGCCUGUCUCUA
rnacentral:sRNA from 1 species